UGCGAAGUAGGUAGUGGAGCGGCCUAAUAUUCAUCUCUGGCAGUUGAGAGCCCGAGGGAUCGCCCGACGGAGCUGCCGACUUUUUUCUCGUCGACGCACGCGGCCCUGCAGUAUCUACAUUACACCUGUAUCCCCGAAAACUCUCGCUAUAGCUCGUAUAGCGGCGCAAGGUCGCGUUCAUUAUCGUCUCGACACAGAGUAUAGCUGCCAAACUCCGAUCGUACUUCGUAGGAGCCGCAGAUCGUCGGACACAGAGUUAAAGUAGACCAUAAUCAGCUGCGAGAUGACGACGUCUCGCAAGCUCGUCUUGCUCCUCGCAGCUCUGCUGCUGGUAGUGACGGGCGUCACCGCAGCGGCUGUUGGAGCAGACGACGCUGAGGACGAGGACGCGUCGUCUGCUGUGACGCCGGUGACGCCGGAGGAGAUUGACGAAGACGAGGGUAGCGGUAGUGGAAGUGGAAGUGGCAGCGGUGACGGGAGCAGCGAGGAGGAUGACGACGAUGACGAGGACGACGCCGACUGGAGGGAGGAUACGCUUAUUUACCAAGUCUGGCCGAGAGCCUUCCAGGAUAGCAAUGGGGACGGAGAGGGAGAUCUGCAAGUAAUACCAACAUUCAAACGUGCAAUGUGACCAACUGUCGAAUUUGGAAUUGGCGCAAAUCAGCUGAUCAAGCAAGCACCAUAACCUCGCCUAGACCGAGUUCUCGAGUUCUUGACUGUUUACUAAUUGCUGCAAUUUUCCGAAACUUUUACAACCGCUAUUAAACUACUAAAUGAGGUCACACGUAACAGAAAAAUCACCUAACAUGGAAAGGCAUCAUCCAUCGCUUGGACUAUUUCGUGGAAAUUGGCGUGGAUACUAUCAGAUUGAGCCCAAUUUACUCAUCUCCAAUGAUCGAUGCUGGAUACGAUGUCUUGAACCACACUGACAUAGAUCCUAUUUAUGGAGAUUUUAAUGAUUUUUAUGAACUGAUACACGAAGCUCACAAAAGAGCUUUGAAAAUCAUUCUGGAUGUUGUUCCAAAUCAGUCUAGUGACCAGCACGAGUGGUUCUUGAAUUCUGCCAAGGAUGUAGAGCCCUAUGAUGACUAUUAUGUUUGGGCUGAUGGAAAAAUUGUGGGCAACACUUUGGUACCACCUACUAACUGGAAAAAUGCCUACAGUGAGGAGGAAGGCUCAGCGUGGACAUGGAACAAGGAUAAAAGAAUGUGGUACUAUCACCAAUUCCAUCAUACAGCACCGGACCUGAACUUGCGAAAUGAAGAUGUUGUUCAGGAAAUCCUUAAUAUAUUUGACUUCUGGUUGGAUAAAGAAGUAGAUGGAUUCUGCAUUUGCGGAGCAUCAUAUCUUUUUGAAAAUGAAGAUUUACUCAAUGAAUCAUCAUCAGAAGAAGAUACUAGUGAUGAAACAGACGAUGAUGAGGAUAGUGACAAUGAUGAGGUGUCCCACACCAUAGGUUUACCAGAAAACUCUGAUCUACUUGUCAGAUUCCGUGAGCACAUUGAAGAAUGGGUCAAAGAGCACAAUGCUGAGCCAAAGUUAUUGAUUGCUGAAGUAGACGACGAUGAUGAUGAGGUAUGGUCUUAUUAUGGAAAUGAAACUCAUCCUGGUAUUGCACCAUUGAGCUUAGUCCUUGUUACUGGAUUGAAUGAAACCAGUGAUGCUGGAGAUGUGAAAGACUUGAUUGAGGAUUGGAUGGAACGUUUACCAGAAGGUGCUGACACUAAUUGGAUGUUAUCAAAUCAAGAUUAUUCAAGAGCUUCUUCUAGACUUGAUUCUGACGUUAUGGAUGGGCUUUACAUGCUCACAUUAUUACUGCCUGGACAAGCUGUAAUAUAUUAUGGUGAGGAAAUAGGAAUGUUAGAUACGAAUGUCACAUGGGACGAUACUAUUGAUAUCAGAGCUCUCGACAAAUCGGAAGAAAAUUAUGACGAUUACUCUAGAGAUCCAGUCAGGACACCUAUGCAAUGGGAUAACUCCAUAUCAGGUGGAUUUUCCACAAACGAUUCUACAUUCCUUCCUGUUAAUCCUAACUAUGUUCGAAUUAAUGUGAAGAGACAGUUGGAAGAUCAUGAUAGCAAUUUGAUGGCUUUUAAAAAAUUAGCCCUUCUCAGGGAAAAUCCAAUUUUUACUAGGGGAGAUUACGAUCUUGAUGCAGUAAACGACGACAAUGUUCUUAUUUUGAAAAGGUCUCUGGAAAAUGACACUUGCUUGGUAAUCAUCAAUUUUGCAGACACAAAGCAAAUGGUUAAUUUAACCGCUCUGUAUCCAGACCUGGAAGAAGAUUUGCAAGUUAUGGUGGAUUCAAGUAAUGCAAACGUCGAGAAGGAAAAUGACGAGGAUGAUGACGAUGACAUAGAAAAUGAUUUAUUCAUCCUGCAUGCUAAUGCAGCGGCUGUACUUUGUGACAGAGAUGACUUUUCGGGAAUUCCACACGAAGAAGACGACGACGACGACGACGAUGACGAUGACAACGACAACGACGAUGAUGAUUCAAACGAUGAUGAAUCUGAUUCUAAAGAAGAAGAUGAUUCGAAAAUCGCCACCACCAGUUCAACAGAAGAACCCAAUGAAGUAGUGCCUGCAACCACAACAGAAGCUCCCGCUCCCAGCUCGGCAAAUAGACGAGAAACGCUUGAAUUUUUCAUGAUCAUUCAUCUCGCGUUGUUACUACUCCUUCGAACAUUAUAAAAGUCCAUCAAUCUGUGAAGUUUGUACAAAAUUGUCACUUAACGGUACGAUUUCGAUAAUCGUCACCUUUGGUUUAUUUUCAAAUUACUUUACAUAAAAGUCUAAUAAAAGCCUCGGCCAAGUGUCUCUUCAGCAAACGUGUAUAUACACAUAUACAUGUUUCUUUCAUAAUAAACGCAGACGUUCUUUCACGGUGAAUUAUCUGACAAACUUAAGACCCCCGACUUAUUUCUCAAUGCGACUGAUCACCGAGUGCGAAAGAUUAGGAAAGAAGCGUUCGAGCUCUUAGAAAGAGGAAUUUCUUUGUUUGUUCUAGUCAACCAAGCUAAAGCGCUCGUCGAACAACGAUUCAAAUGUACACUUACUCGAAACAAAAAGAAUAAGCUUGUAGUAGGCGGUAAGAGUCUAAAGAUAGAUUUAAUAACAUAUCACGGCGAAAGCGACUCAAUGACGUAAGUUAGAUAUUCCUCGGCUAAACUUACAAACAUGUAACGCAACAAUCAUAUCUCCCGCGCGAAUAUUGUUACGAAGAGGGUAAAUAUAAUGUAUGUAUAUAGCUCCUCGAUAAGGCCAGUAACCAAAAUAACUCUCGAAUUCCGGCUUCCCUUGUAUAUCCUCUCUCCCGCUCCAGUGUUGUCUUGAACAAGGCGAGAGAUAAAGACAGAUAGAAAACAACGAUAGUUAUUAUGCCCUGCGCGAGCAAGCGCGACAUUUUAUAUAUACCCGGUAAGCCGAUCCAUUAUCUUGUUGAAACACUCGCUGCCUGUCAGUCUAGUAGCAUCGAGUCGCGAGCUGCUUGUAUGCAGAGUCAUAACACCUACAAUAGCCGGACACACCGGAGCGGAAGGAAAGUUUUGUCCAACGCGAGCGCGCGAAGCGACAAUACGAGCUUAUUAUUGUUAUUAUUAUUAUUGUACCGGUAGUACACGUUAUCCGCAAUAGCGGCCACGUAUAGCGUUUGUGUUGUGCGGAGCGAAAUCGAUCUUGUGCGCAUGUGGAUCACCGUGGACAGGUGUCGAUCGUCGCGGAGUCAACGUCAAGGCUGCUGGACGUCAUCGGGAGUUAGUUGCAAGAGGAAUGUGAGGAGAAAAAUGGUACCGAAGGAGACCACCUACCUCCUGACGAACCCCGUCAGCGAGGCCAUGAGGAUCAACAUCCCCGAGAAGUACAUCACGCGAGAGCUGACCAGAGAAGAUUUGGAAUACUACACGGCCGAUCCGCUUUGGAUGAAGAUCCGAUUGUUUUUAUUCUGGAGCUUCUGGCUUGCUUUCCUCGUCGUACUAUUCCUGUCGAUAUUCGUCUACAUCUUUCCCUCGACGUGCUGAGAUUAUCAAGAGGCCCAGCUGGCUAUGCCUUUCAGAGCAAAUCUUUGUUUUCAACUCUGAUAAAACCGCUCUUGGAGGAGAGUGCGAUAGCUGAUAAUGUACAGACAAAUACAGCCGCAGUGUCGUAUCAGGAAUUUUACCGGAGAUGCUGGCGAUGGCUAUCGAAAGACUGUUGUGAAAAAGAAGCUUACAGUAUAUAAGUGCCUAAGUCAGGCGAGUCUAUAACGUACUGGAUUUGUAACUUUAGGGUCGCGACGUUUAGACGUUUAGAGGCUUUUUUUAUAUAUCCAUAACGAAAUCUUCAUGUAUAUGUAUAGCUAUGUGUUAAGGUUUUUCUUUUUUUAAGUUAUAAGCGUGUUUAUACUAUAUGCGGUACUGUAACAAUAUAUAUAUAUUAGAGUAAUUACUACACUGCGAACUUUUAAAAAUGCAAGGCGUGUAUCGCAAAUUACACGUUUUCGCAUAUAUAUCUAAUCUAAAAAGAUAAUUGAUCUAUUACGAUCAGCUAUCGGCCUGUGAUUUUAUAUUUUAUGUAAAACAAAUCUCAGCUGAAAAGUAUUUUGUUUAAGGCGCUUGAUCAUUGUUAAAGCAAAUAAAUUUGCGAUGUGCUUAUCAAUAAAUGAGAUGUCUCAUGUAAAGGACUUAGA